rnacentral:rRNA from 1 species
AUUGAACGCUGGCGGCAGGCCUAACACAUGCAAGUCGAACGGUAACAGGAAGAAGCUUGCUUCUUUGCUGACGAGUGGCGGACGGGUGAGUAAUGUCUGGGAAACUGCCUGAUGGAGGGGGAUAACUACUGGAAACGGUAGCUAAUACCGCAUAACGUCGCAAGACCAAAGAGGGGGACCUUCGGGCCUCUUGCCAUCGGAUGUGCCCAGAUGGGAUUAGCUAGUAUGUGGGGUAACGGCUCACCUAGGCGACGAUCCCUAGCUGGUCUGAGAGGAUGACCAGCCACACUGGAACUGAGACACGGUCCAGACUCCUACGGGAGGCAGCAGUGGGGAAUAUUGCACAAUGGGCGCAAGCCUGAUGCAGCCAUGCCGCGUGUAUGAAGAAGGCCUUCGGGUUGUAAAGUACUUUCAGCGGGGAGGAAGGGAGUAAAGUUAAUACCUUUGCUCAUUGACGUUACCCGCAGAAGAAGCACCGGCUAACUCCGUG